rnacentral:tRNA from 1 species
GGCCUUCCUGCGCGAGCGGCUGGUCGACGAGGCCAACGUCUUCGAGGCGCCGGUACGGCUUGGCGACGAGGCGCUCGAUGCGCUGGAGGGCCU